UGAACAGAUAAUUAAAAACAAAAAGAAUCUCCCCUCUGUAUGCCAGGUAGAGAAACAGGAAGUGCAAAGGUAAGUCCUUAAGUAGAAAUCAAGCUUCGCUUGAUGAAAGAAGACCAGUCAGGCUGGCACAGAAUGAACAAUGGAGAGAGUUGCAGGAAAUUGCCUGGAUUGAAGGUCUCUGGUAAGGUUGUGUGGUUUAUAUUUCAGAAGCCAUUGGAGAAUUUCAAGCCCAUGGUUCUGACAUGAUCAGACUUAUACUUUUAAUGACGACUAUGGUUGCUGAUUGAAGAAACAAGAGUGGAGGCAGGGAGGCCAGUUAGGAGGCUCUAUAAGUAGGCAGGUAAGGGUGAUAGUAUUUAAAAUAGAGGAGGAGAGAUGAAGAUGGCAAGAAGUGAUCAGACUGGAAAAAAAAUUUGAAGGUAGAGCUGAAAGAACUUGCUGUUGGAUUGCAUGGAAGUGAUGGUAAAGGAAAGAUAGGAAGUGCAGUCUGUAGAUUUUUAGUCCUUACUCACCCCUGGGGGCUUGAAAUGCCCAUAAGCUGAUCAACAACAGAAAAGUACUAUCUCCCCACCCCCACAGACAUACAGUGGAGAUAAUGACCAGCCUACUUUCUCCUGAAUCAAGCACAUACCUAUCAGGCCCCAAUGAAAUUUCAAAUAGUUUUUUAGUAAAGAGUUUACGUAGUUAUUUUCAAGCUGUAUAGAUUUGGGAGACAGGAAAGACCUUAUAUCCAUUAUAGGGCCUGCUCUUUUAUUAAAUGACCACUGCCAAAGUCUUUUGCCUUGGAUGCUGGUAAGGAAUAAAGGCUGGGUUUUAUGGGUAUGCUUUUGUUUCCUGUCUCCUCAUCUUUUCCUCUGUCCCUGAACUUUCUCUCUUUAGUAUUUACUACAGCUUAUGCUUUCCAACAAGAUCUGCUGAUCUUCAUCCUAAAAUCAAUUCUCAACCCCAACAAACACUUCCUUAUGUCUUAAUCAUUUAGCCAUAUUAGGCACAGACAACUUAUCAGUGAAUUUUUUGCCCAAUUACUGCUAUUUCACAAAGGGAAGAUGAUUGAAUUUAUCGUGAGUGAAGACUGAAUUUUGGUCAUUUGUAUAGGUCUAGAUGUGAAGGUAGAAAUGAGGAUGAGAUUGUGGUAGGAAUUUUAUGUGUGUGUGUGUGUGUGUGUGCAUGUGUGUGUGUGUGUGACAUGUAAAGGAUGAAUUAGUGACCCUUGCAUUCUAGAAUUAAGAAAAUCUUAUUCUUUCUUAUUUGGGGCUAUAUUGCUAAGAUUUCUGCAUUAUUUAACAGUGAAUGGU
rnacentral:lncRNA from 1 species